GUAAGGAAUAUUGGACAAUGGACGCAAGUCUGAUCCAGCCAUGCCGCGUGAAGGAUUAAGGUCCUCUGGAUUGUAAACUUCUUUUAUAAGGGACGAAAAAAGGCUUUUCUAAGUCGUCUGACGGUACCUUAUGAAUAAGCACCGGCUAACUCCGUGCCAGCAGCCGCGGUAAUACGGAGGGUGCAAGCGUUAUCCGGAUUCACUGGGUUUAAAGGGUGCGUAGGCGGGCAGGUAAGUCAGUGGUGAAAUCCUAGAGCUUAACUCUAGAACUGCCAUUGAUACUAUCUGUCUUGAAUAUUGUGGAGGUAAGCGGAAUAUGUCAUGUAGCGGUGAAAUGCUUAGAUAUGACAUAGAACACCUAUUGUGAAGGCAGCUUACUACGCAUAUAUUGACGCUGAGGCACGAAAGCGUGGGGAUCAAACAGGAUUAGAAACCCGAGUAGUCC
rnacentral:rRNA from 1 species